UGCCACGGUGAAUACGUUCCCGGGCCUUGUACACACCGCCCGUCACACCAUGGGAGUGGGUUGCAAAAGAAGUAGGUAGCUUAACCUUCGGGAGGGCGCUUACCACUUUGUGAUUCAUGACUGGGGUGAAGUCGUAACAAGGUAACCGUAGGGGAACCUGCGGUUGGAUCACCUCCUUACCUUAAAGAA
rnacentral:rRNA from 2 species